rnacentral:rRNA from 1 species
GAUGAACGCUGGCGGCGUGCCUAAUACAUGCAAGUCGAGCGAACAGACGAGGAGCUUGCUCCUCUGACGUUAGCGGCGGACGGGUGAGUAACACGUGGAUAACCUACCUAUAAGACUGGGAUAACUUCGGGAAACCGGAGCUAAUACCGGAUAAUAUAUUGAACCGCAUGGUUCAAUAGUGAAAGACGGUUUUGCUGUCACUUAUAGAUGGAUCCGCGCCGCAUUAGCUAGUUGGUAAGGUAACGGCUUAUCAAGGCGACGAUGCGUAGCCGAGCGGAUGGGGUGAUCGGCGACCCUGGAAGGGAGACACGGUCCAGACGCCUACGGGAGGCAGCAGAAGGGAAUCGGCCGCAAUGGGCGAAAGCCUGACGAAGCGGCGGCGCGUGAGUGAUGAAGGUCUUCGGUUCGGAAAACUCUGUUAUGAGGGAAGAACAAAUGUGUAAGUAACUAUGCACGUCUUGACGGUAACUAAUCAGAAAGCCACGGCUAACUACGUG